CCCUUAGAUGUUCUGGGCCGCACGCGCGCUACACUGACGAAUGCAACGAGCUUAUAACCUUGGCCGAAAGGUCUGGGUAAUCUCCAAAUUUCGUCGUGAUGGGGAUAGAUUAUUGCAAUUAUUAAUCUUCAACGAGGAAUGCCUAGUAAGCGCAAGUCAUCAGCUUGCGUUGAUUACGUCCCUGCCCUUUGUACACACCGCCCGUCGCACCUACCGAUUGAAUGGUCCGGUGAAAUCUCCGGACUGGCGUGAGUCGGAGCAAUCUGACAAACGCCGGAAAGUUGAUUAAACCUUACCAUUUAGAGGAAGGUGAAGUCGUAACA
rnacentral:rRNA from 1 species